AACGAACGCCGGCGGCGUGCCUAACACAUGCAAGUCGAGCGAGAAAGUCCGCAAGGAUGAGUACAGCGGCGCACGGGUGCGUAACACGUGGGUAAUCUGCCCUGAAGCCCGGAAUAACCUCCCGAAAGGGAAGCUAAUGCCGGAUAAGACAACGGGAGCCUCGGCUCCUGCGGGAAAAGGUGGCCUCUGCACGCAAGCUAUCACUUCAGGAUGAGACCGCGGCCCACCGGCUCGUUGGCGGGGUAACGGCCCCCCAAGGCUACGACGGGUAUCCGGUCGUAGAGGCCGAUCAGCCACACUGGACCUGAGACACGUUCCAGACUCCGACGGGAGGCAGCAGUGGGGAAUCUUGCGCAAUGGGCGAAAGCCUGACGCAGCAACGCCGCGUGUGUGAUGAAGGUCUUCGGAUCGUAAAGCACUGUCGGGAGGAAAGAACAAGCCUGUGGCUAACAUCCACGGGCCUUGACGGUACCUCCAAAGGAAGCACCGGCUAACUCUGUGCCAGCCGCCGCCGUAACAC
rnacentral:rRNA from 1 species